rnacentral:rRNA from 1 species
UGGGGAAUUUUGCACAAUGGGUGAAACCCUGAUGCAGCGACGCCGCGUGAUUUAGAAGGCCUUCGGGUUGUAAAAAUCUUUUCUAUGGGAAGAAAAUGACAGUACCAUAGGAAUAAGGACCGGCUAAUUACGUGCCAGCAGCCGCGGUAAUACGUAAGGUCCGAGCGUUGUCCGUAAUCAUUGGGCGUAAAGGGUACGUAGGCGGGUAAGCAAGUUAGAAGUGAAAUCCUAUAGCUCAACUAUAGUAAGCUUUUAAAACUGCUCAUCUUGAGGUAUGGAAGGGAAAGUGGAAUUACUAGUGUAGCGGUGAAAUGAGCAGAUAUUAGGAGGAAUACAGGUGGCGAAGGAGACUUUCUGGCCAUAACCUGACGCUGAGGUACGAAAGCGUGGGUAGCGAACAGG